AUUAUAAAUGCAGUUUUAUAAGCAUGUGUCCUUUCUGAGAUGCAUUAUUCAUGUUCCCAAAGCAGCAGCAGCAGCAGCAGCAGCACCCUGCAGAGACACACUGUCUGCAACACACAGAUGGAGGCCAUAUUGCUGGAUGACAGCGAGGUGAUAAAAACUAGUUGCAGGACUUUAUAUUGCAGUGAGCACCCACAAACUGCUUGGAAAACUGAGCAUUUAAC